rnacentral:rRNA from 1 species
GUAAGCCGUUGAAGGUGGCCUGUGAGGGUUGCUGGAGGUAUCAGAAGUGCGAAUGCUGACAUAAGUAACGAUAAAGCGGGUGAAAAGCCCGCUCGCCGGAAGACCAAGGGUUCCUGUCCAACGUUAAUCGGGGCAGGGUGAGUCGACCCCUAAGGCGAGGCCGAAAGGCGUAGUCGAUGGGAAACGGGUUAAUAUUCCCGUACUUGGUGUUACUGCGAAGGGGGGACGGAGAAGGCUAUGUUGGCCGGGCGACGGUUGUCCCGGUUUAAGCGUGUAGGUGUGUGUUCCAGGUAAAUCCGGUUCACUUUAACACUGAGGCGUGACGACGAGGCACUACGGUGCUGAAGCAACAAAUGCCCUGCUUCCAGGAAAAGCCUCUAAGCAUCAGGUAACAUCAAAUCGUACCCCAAACCGACACAGGUGGUCAGGUAGAGAAUACCAAGGCGCUUGAGAGAACUCGGGUGAAGGAACUAGGCAAAAUGGUGCCGUAACUUCGGGAGAAGGCACGCUGACACGUAGGUGAAGUGAUUUACUCAUGGAGCUGAAGUCAGUCGAAGAUACCAGCUGGCUGCAACUGUUUAUUAAAAACACAGCACUGUGCAAACACGAAAGUGGACGUAUACGGUGUGACGCCUGCCCGGUGCCGGAAGGUUAAUUGAUGGGGUCAGCGCAAGCGAAGCUCCUGAUCGAAGCCCCGGUAAACGGCGGCCGUAACUAUAACGGUCCUAAGGUAGCGAAAUUCCUUGUCGGGUAAGUUCCGACCUGCACGAAUGGCGUAAUGAUGGCCAGGCUGUCUCCACCCGAGACUCAGUGAAAUUGAACUCGCUGUGAAGAUGCAGUGUACCCGCGGCAAGACGGAAAGACCCCGUGAACCUUUACUAUAGCUUGACACUGAACAUUGAGCCUUGAUGUGUAGGAUAGGUGGGAGGCUUUGAAGCGUGG